rnacentral:lncRNA from 1 species
GCAACUCGGUUGGGUGACACUUUCGAGUUUUUUUCCAUUACUCAACAAGCCUCUGAUUUUGUUUGCAACCUCAAAUUAAAUACGAAAAAUUUAAACGACAGUAAAUAUGAAUUCCCAGAACGAAGAAAACUUGUUUGCAUCCAACCAGCAGGGCGAUAAUCGCAAUACACAAGAAGGUAUGUCAGCCAAUAUAUUUUCAAGUGUGUGUCCAUUUGGUAAUUAUAUGCAACUUGCAGUGGCCGGUGGAGAAGUGGCAUCGGACGGUACUCAACCGGCAGAGGCAGAGCCAGGCCCACAAAUUGCAGCGGAGGCAACUGCCGCAGGUGCCAUCAACAACACCGUUCCGUGUGUCCAGCAAAGACGCACUCGCACCCAGCAACAGACAUUUCGAUACACUGAAAACGAAUUGCGUCAGAUUAGACAGCAACUUUUCCGUCCGGUUCAAGAAGCUUACUUGACAGUGCGUUUCUGGUACUAGAGGAUGGAUUAAACUCAAUAUUGUUUAACCAUUUCUGAAUCUUCUUCUUUUUGAAUUUCUUCCUCGAGGCAUGUUGCUUCGACGACCCAGUGCUGUUAUUUCCACUAAAAGUGGCCACCAACGAAAGGGGCGAAGAGAAUAAGAUCUGCAAUUUGUGUUUCAUCCAUUUUCAUAGCAUUUUUAUAGCCUCGAUUUUUAAUUAAUUUGCUUCCCUCUCUACCCUCUCUCUCUCUCUCUCUCUCUCUCAUCCUCGUAGC